UCCGUAGGCGGCCGUGUGUGUCGGGUGUGAAAUCCUGCAGCUUAACUGCAGAACUGCGCUCGAAACUAUACGGCUAGAGUAUUGGAGAGGUGAGUGGAAUUCCUGGUGUAGCGGUGAAAUGCGUAGAUAUCAGGAGGAACACCAACGGCGAAGGCAGCUCACUGGACAAUUACUGACGCUGAGGGACGAAAGCGUGGGGAGCGAAAG
rnacentral:rRNA from 1 species